rnacentral:rRNA from 1 species
GAUGAACGCUGACCGAAUGCUUAACACAUGCAAGUCAACUUGAACUUCGGUUUGGGUGGCGGACGGGUGAGUAACGCGUAAAGAACUUGCCUCACAGUUAGGGACAACAUUUGGAAACGAAUGCUAAUACCUGAUAUUAUGAUUUUAGGGCAUCCUAGAAUUAUGAAAGCUAUAUGCGCUGUGAGAGAGCUUUGCGUCCCAUUAGCUAGUUGGAGAGGUAACGGCUCACCAAGGCGAUGAUGGGUAGCCGGCCUGAGAGGGUGAACGGCCACAAGGGGACUGAGACACGGCCCUUACUCCUACGGGAGGCAGCAGUGGGGAAUAUUGGACAAGGGACCAAGAGUCUGAUCCAGCAAUUCUGUGUGCACGAUGAAGUUUUUCGGAAUGUAAAGUGCUUUCAGUUGGGAAGAAAAAAAUGACGAUACCAACAGAAGAAGAGACGGCUUAAUACGUG